rnacentral:piRNA from 1 species
UACUAGAAAAGACUUAUGCCUUCCC